rnacentral:rRNA from 1 species
CCUACGGGAGGCAGCAGUGGGGAAUUUUGCGCAAUGGGGGCAACCCUGACGCAGCAACGCCGCGUGAGUGAUGAAGGCCUUCGGGUCGUAAAGCUCUGUCAGAGGGGAAGAAAUGCAGGUGGUGAACAACCAUUCUGUUUGACGGUACCCUCAAAGGAAGCACCGGCUAACUCCGUGCCAGCAGCCGCGGUAAUACGGAGGGUGCGAGCGUUGUUCGGAAUUAUUGGGCGUAAAGCGCGUGUAGGCGGUUUGGUAAGACGGGUGUAAAAGCCCCGGGCUCAACCGGGGAAGUGCAUUGGAUACUGGAAGGCUGGAGUACGGGAGAGGAGAGUGAAAUUCCGAGUGUAGGAGUAAAAUCCGUAGAUAUGGGGAGGAACACCGGUGGCGAGGGCGGCCCUC